AUGGAGAGUUUGAUCCUGGCUCAGGACGAACGCUGGCGGCGUGCCUAACACAUGCAAGUCGAGCGGUCUCGCCUAUAGCAAAAGGCCUUCGGGCUUCGAGCAAAGGCGAGAUAGCGGCGGACGGGUGAGUAACGCGUGGCUUAUCUGUCCCAGGGAGGGGGAUAACGUCUGGAAACGGGCGCUAAUACCCCAUAUGCCGGUGAGGUAAAAAGGAGAAAUCCGCCCUGGGGUGAGGCCGCGUCCUAUCAGCUAGUUGGUGAGGUAACGGCCCACCAAGGCUAUGACGGGUAGCCGGCCUGAGAGGGCGGCUGGCCACACUGGGAUUGAGAUACGGCCCAGACUCCUACGGGAGGCAGCAGUGGGGAAUAUUGGGCAAUGGGGGAAACCCUGACCCAGCGACGCCGCGUGGAGGAAGGAGCCCUUCGGGGUGUAAACUCCUGUUGUAAGGGAAGAAGACAGUGACGGUACCUUACGAGGAAGCCCCGGCAAACUACGUGCCAGCAGCCGCGGUAACACGUAGGGGGCGAGCGUUGUCCGGAAUCACUGGGCGUAAAGCGCACGCAGGCGGAUGCGCGCGUCGGCUGUGAAAUGCACCGGCUCAACCGGUGCACUGCGGUCGAUACGGCGCGUCUGGAGUGCGGGAGAGGGAAGCGGAAUUCCCGGUGUAGCGGUGAAAUGCGUAGAUAUCGGGAGGAACGCCGGUGGCGAAGGCGGCUUCCUGGCCCGCAACUGACGCUCAUGUGCGAAAGCCAGGGGAGCGAACCGGAUUAGAUACCCGGGUAGUCCUGGCCGUAAACGAUGGACGCUAGGUGUGGGCGGUUUAUCCGUCUGUGCCGAAGUUAACGCGUUAAGCGUCCCGCCUGGGGAGUACGAUCGCAAGGUUGAAACUCAAAGGAAUUGACGGGGGCCCGCACAAGCGGUGGAGCGCGUGGUUUAAUUCGAUGCAAACCGAAGAACCUUACCUGGGUUUGACAUGCAGGUGGUACGAGCCCGAAAGGGUGAGGACCGCACCUUCGGGUGCGGAGCCUGCACAGGUGCUGCAUGGCUGUCGUCAGCUCGUGUCGUGAGAUGUUGGGUUAAGUCCCGCAACGAGCGCGACCCCUGCUUCCAGUUGCCAUCAGGUCAAGCUGGGCACUCUGGAGGGACUGCCGGCGACAAGUCGGAGGAAGGCGGGGAUGACGUCAAGUCAUCAUGGCCCUUAUGUCCAGGGCGACACACGCGCUACAAUGGCCGGCACAGAGGGAGGCAAGCCCGCGAGGGUGAGCAGAUCCUGUUAAAGCCGGUCUCAGUUCGGAUCGCAGUCUGCAACCCGACUGCGUGAAGCCGGAAUCGCUAGUAAUCGCGGAUCAGCCAUGCCGCGGUGAAUACGUUCCCGGGCCUUGUACACACCGCCCGUCACACCACCCGAGUUGGGUGUUCCCGAAGCCGCUCUUCCCAACCCGUAAGGGAGGGAGGCGUCGAAGGAAUGCCUGGUGAGGGGGGUGAAGUCGUAACAAGGUAGCCGUACCGGAAGGUGCGGCUGGAUCACCUCCUUU
rnacentral:rRNA from 2 species